rnacentral:rRNA from 1 species
UACGUAGGUGGCAAGCGUUGUCCGGAAUUAUUGGGCGUAAAGGGCGCGUAGGCGGCACAGCAAGUCGGGAGUGAAAGCCCGGGGCUCAACCCCGGAAUGGCUUUCGAAACUGCUGAGCUAGAGUACAGAAGGGGCAACCGGAAUUCCCAGUGUAGCGGUGAAAUGCGUAGAUAUUGGGAAGAACACCUGAGGCGAAGGCGGGUUGCUGGGCUGAUACUGACGCUGAGGCGCGAAAGCCAGGGGAGCAAACGGG